GGGCCUGUAGCUCAGAGGGAGAGCGCUUGACUCGCAUUCAAGAGGCCGGGGGUUCGAGUCCCCCCAGGUCCA
rnacentral:tRNA from 1 species